ACUGAAACUAAAACCAUGGCUACUCCUACAGGGCCACUGGAACCUUUUGAGGAGACUAUAGUGCAAUGGCAUGUAUAUACUGAGUGUUUUGAGCUUUUGUUAUUGCAAUCCGUGGCCCCCAAAGU